UCCGGGCUAGCUCAACGGUAGAGCAGACCGCUGUUAACGGUAAGGUUGUAGGUUCGAAUCCUACGCCCGGAGCCA
rnacentral:tRNA from 1 species